UAAUAAUACAGUUCAGACAGAGUACUGCACCCGUUAUUUUAUAUACAGUCAAUGGUUCAUAUCUAUAAUAUAUAUAAAUAUAAUAAUAAUAAUAAUACAUUUCAGACAGAGUACUGCACCCGUUAUUUUAUAUAGUCAAUGGUUCAUAUCUAUAAUAUAUAUAAAUAUAAUAAUAAUAAUAAUACAGGUCAGACAGACUACUACACCUGUAUACACAUAAUAAAUAGCAACCCUAUUAAUACAUAGAACUUAUGUAACAGUCUGUGUACAUUUAUUACUACUCAUUA